rnacentral:rRNA from 1 species
AUGUUCGUGGGACGUCCUGCCGGUGGUGGCGAGUCGAAGGCGUGCUCCCGUCGUGGUUUCCACUUCGGUUCUUGUGCGCCCGAGGCGGACCCCGAUGUAAUCCUACCGCGGUGCUCUUUACCGAGUGUCGAGGUGGGCCGGCACGUUUACUUUGAACAAAUUAGAGUGCUUAAAGCAGGCCUGUUGCGCCUGAAUACUGUGUGCAUGGAAUAAUGGAAUAGGACCUCGGUUCUAUUUUGUUGGUUUUCGGAACCCGAGGUAAUGAUUAAUAGGGACAGGCGGGGGCAUUCGUAUUGCGACGUUAGAGGUGAAAUUCUUGGAUCGUCGCAAGACGGACCGAAGCGAAAGCAUUUGCCAAGUAUGUUUUCAUUAAUCAAGAACGAAAGUUAGAGGUUCGAAGGCGAUCAGAUACCGCCCUAGUUCUAACCAUAAACGAUGCCAGCUAGCGAUCCGCCGAAGUUCCUCCGAUGACUCGGCGGGCAGCUCCCGGGAAACCAAAGCUUUUGGGUUCCGGGGGAAGUAUGGUUGCAAAGCUGAAACUUAAAGGAAUUGACGGAAGG